rnacentral:rRNA from 1 species
AUUGAACGCUGGCGGCAUGCCUUACACAUGCAAGUCGAACGGUAACAGGUCUUCGGAUGCUGACGAGUGGCGAACGGGUGAGUAAUACAUCGGAACGUGCCUAGUAGUGGGGGAUAACUACUCGAAAGAGUGGCUAAUACCGCAUGAGGUCUACGGAUGAAAGCAGGGGAUCGCAAGACCCUGUGCUACUAGAGCGGCCGAUGGCAGAUUAGGUAGUUGGCGGGAUAAAAGCUUACCAAGCCGACGAUCUGUAGCUGGUCUGAGAGGACGAUCAGCCACACUGGGACUGAGACACGGCCCAGACUCCUACGGGAGGCAGCAGUGGGGAAUUUUGGACAAUGGGCGCAAGCCUGAUCUAGCAAUGCCGCGUGCAGGAUGAAGGCCUUCGGGUUGUAAACUGCUUUUGUACGGAACGAAAAGCCCCGGGUUAAUACCCUGGGGUCAUGACGGUACCGUAAGAAUAAGCACCGGCUAACUACGUGCCAGCCGCCGCCGUAA